ACAGAUAGACAGACAGAUCAAUCAUAUACAAAGUUUGAUAGACAGACAGACACAGAAAAGAAAGACUGACAGAAAAAUACCACAGAUCGGUAAAUGGAGUUGACUGAUGAUGGUAAGAGCAGUAAGAUGAAUGGAGUAUGUAUUGUAAAGAUAGAGAUAGAGCAUGUAAAUGUGUAUACAUACAGUAGGUGAUGUAGAUAGAUGGAGUAAGGGAAUUGAGUACGCGGUCUAGAUGGUUGUAGUAAGGGGGAUUGGGUAAGUGCAGUAAAUGGAUGGAGUACAGUUGGAAUAGGUACUGUAGAUCGAUGGAGGAUGGGUGCAGUAUACUGUAAAUGGGUGGAGUAGAGAGUGGAGUAGGUACUGUGGAUGGAUAGAGUAGGCGAUGGAGUAGGUACAGUAGAUGGGUGGAGUAGGGGUGGAGUAGGGGUGAAGUAGGUACAGUAGAUGGGUGCAGUAGGGGUAGAGUAGGUUGUGGAGUAGGUUAGUAGAUGGGUGGAGUAGGGGUAGAGUAGGGGUUGAGUAGGUACAGUAGAUGGGUGCAGUAGGGGUAGAGUAGGGGUGGAGUAGGUACAGUAGUUGGGUGCAGCAGUGGGUGAGGUAGUGGGUACAGUAGAUGGGAGGAGUAAGGAUGGAGUAGGUACAGCAGAUGGGUGGAGUAAGGGUGGAAUAGGUACAGUCGUUGGGUGGAGUAGGGGUGGAGUAGGUACAGUAGAUGGAUGGAGUAGGGGUAGAGUAGGAGUGGAGUAGGUACAGUCGAUAGGAGGAGUAGGGGUGGAGUAGGUGCUGUAGAUGGGUACAGUAGUGGGUGGAGUAGGUACAGUAGGUGGGAGGAGUAGGGGUGGAGUACGGGUGGAGUAGGUGCUGUAGAUAUAGUACCCGAUCGGCCCUGCGGGACCCAGAUGUUCAGGUAGAGGCAGUCCUCACUGCCACGAGUCUCAGUCUGAAUCAGAUUCACCUGCAUGCACCUCCUGGCAAACUUCUUGGCCUUCAGUACCCCUGCAGAGAAUAAAUAAUG